rnacentral:rRNA from 1 species
CCUANGGGUGGCUGCAGUGGGGAAUCUUGGACAAUGGGCGCAAGCCUGAUCCAGCCAUGCCGCGUGAGUGAAGAAGGCCUUCGGGUUGUAAAGCUCUUUUACCAGGGACGCUAAUGACGGUACCUGGAGAAUAAGCCCCGGCAAACUUCGUGCCAGCAGCCGCGGUAAUACGAAGGGGGCUAGCGUUGUUCGGAAUUACUGGGCGUAAAGCGCACGUAGGCGGAUUGUUAAGUCAGAGGUGAAAUCCCGGAGCUCAACUUCGGAACUGCCUUUGAUACUGGCAAUCUCGAGUCCGGAAGAGGUUAGUGGAAUUCCCAGUGUAGAGGUGAAAUUCGUAGAUAUUGGGAAGAACACCAGUGGCGAAGGCGGCUAACUGGUCCGGUACUGACGCUGAGGUGCGAAAGCGUGGGGAGCAAACAGGAUUAGAUACCCGGNUANUC